UUCCAAAGUGUUGAGUUCAGUUCAGGGCAGCUUCCCUGUUCUGUUAAUUAAACUUUGGAACAUUGAAAACCUGGGCUGUGGGAGAUGAUUGGAUAGAAAGCAUUACUCUAUUCAUUCACUACCUCCCAGCCUACAAAA
ensembl:snoRNA small nucleolar RNA, H/ACA box 36A